UACGUAGGGAGCGAGCGUUGUCCGGAUUUAUUGGGCGUAAAGCGAGCGCAGGUGGUUUAUUAAGUCUGGUGUAAAAGGCAGUGGCUCAACCAUUGUAUGCAUUGGAAACUGGUAGACUUGAGUGCAGGAGAGGAGAGUGGAAUUCCAUGUGUAGCGGUGAAAUGCGUAGAUAUAUGGAGGAACACCGGUGGCGAAAGCGGCUCUCUGGCCUGUAACUGACGCUGAGGCGCGAAAGCGUGGGGAGCAAACAGG
rnacentral:rRNA from 1 species